rnacentral:tRNA from 1 species
UGGUAGCUCAGUCGGGUAAGUGCUCGCUUCUCACGCCAGAGAUGCGGGUUCGAAUCCCGGCGUUGACAU